rnacentral:lncRNA from 1 species
UUUUCGGUGGGUUGAUGAGUGACCCAGUAAAACGAAAAACUGCAAAGCCAGAGGGCGUCUCAAACAGAAGCAGCAUGUAUGGGCUAAACGGAAAAAGGUCGGCUGCAAACAAGAAGUUAUUAGCAAACUCAGGCAAGUAGUAUAUCUGUAUAUGAUCACCAAGAAAAGAAAUCAGAUCGUGUUUUUAACUUGAACUCAGGUGUCCGAAUGCUUUAAACGACACGCAAAUGUUUUAUUAACAUGACCACGUACGAACCGCCGAUCUGUGCUGUAACCAAGCACACGAAACCAUGGGCGUCCGGAUCUGUGGAUUCGGAUCCAAAUUGGGUUCGUGAAGGGUUCCCUCUCGCAUUUUUCUACUGAAAGUUUCCCUGCCGAGGGAAUGGGAUUGAGAGACGAGGAUGACGGCGGGCACCUGUAUAGGGUCUCGACGGAGCAGUAGCGCGGCCGUGUCGCCUCUUCAUCGCCGGAGGAGAGGAGGUUUUUUUCUUUGAAAUUGCGGAGGCGAGGAGGUUGAGGAGG